rnacentral:misc_RNA from 1 species
UUUCCGUAGGUGAACCUGCGGAAGGAUCAUUACAGAGUUCAUGCCCUUCGGGGUAGAUCUCCACCCGUGUUUAUUUAUACCUUUGUUGCUUUGGCAGGUCGCCUUCGGGCACUCGGCUCUGGCUGAGGUGCACCUGCCAGAGGACCCCCAACUCUGUGUUUAGUAUUGUCUGAGUAAUAUUUUUAAUACGUUAAAACUUUCAACAACGGAUCUCUUGGUUCUGGCAUCGAUGAAGAACGCAGC